GGCCGGUUAGCUUAGUCAGUUGAGCAUGGUGCUAACAACGCUAAGGUCGCGAGUUCGAUUCCCGUUCGGUCC
rfam:Apaloderma vittatum contig85727, whole genome shotgun sequence.